rnacentral:rRNA from 1 species
CUACGGGUGGCUCCAGUAGGGAAUCUUGCGCAAUGGGCGAAAGCCUGACGCAGCGACGCCGCGUGGAUGACGAAGCUCUUUGGAGUGUAAAAUCCUUUCAGCGGGGACGAACAACGGCGACAGGAAAUGGUCGCCGCCUGGCUGUACCCGCAGAAGAAGUCCCGGCUAACUCCGUGCCAGCAGCCGCGGUAACACGGGGGGGACAAGCGUUGUUCGGAUUCACUGGGCGUAAAGAGCACGUAGGCGGAAGGGCAAGUCAGAUGUGAAAACCCGGGGGUUAACCGCGGGCCUGCAUUUGAUACUGCUUUUCUUGAGUACCGGAGAGGAUGGCAGAAUUCCUGGUGUAGCGGUGAAAUGCGUAGAUAUCAGGAAGAAUACCGGUGGCGAAGGCGACCAUCUGGACGGAUACUGACGCUGAGGUGCGAAGGCCGGGGGAGCAAACAGGAUUAGAUACCCCGGUAGUC